GUGUAUUGAUGGUGUUCAGCACCAAGGACAGGUAUGUUAACUUGUGUGUGGAUGGUGUUCAGCACUAAGGACAGGUGUGCUUCUUU
rnacentral:pre_miRNA from 1 species